GCGCUGUGAUCUGAGUGCCCUGCGCCCUUCGGUGCCCUGUGCAGGCUGCCACUGGGCUGCCUCUGGGAGCCUGACUGGGUCCCUCCAGCCAAAGCUGCAGUGGGCCCAGGACAAGCUACGGGUCCAGGAACCUGCAGCAGCCUGACCCCAGAAGGAAGACCCUGUGGACUACCCACUGGUCCCCAAGAAAAACCCACAAGAUGGGAGUCUCUGGACUCCACUGCAGAGGUGGGCACCCUGCCUUGGAUUUGACCCUGUGAGUAGCUCUUACCGGCCUGAGGUCUGUGGUGCACUGGCCAGCCCUGGCCCUGGCCUCAUGUCCACACAGCAGGAGGGCGGUGGACAGGGCUCCAGGAAGGUAAAAACCCAUGAGCUGCACCAGCGCAAGUUCUACUCUCUGCCCUGGGGCAGUGACGGUGGCAAUGAAGUGGUGUGACUUGGGGCUGGCUGGGCAAGCUGAGGGAGCCAGCAGGCUGGCAAGGGCCUCUGAAGCACAUGCUUGGAGGGCACGCCUGAAGGCAACCUCUGGGGGGCCCAGGGAUGGGGCUGCAAUGAUGUGACCCCAGCCUGGCCCCCAGGGGCCACACCAAGUACCUGCAAUGCCAGAAGGACCAGCACCUUGACCUCUUGGCUCCCCCAAUCCUCAAUCCUCUCUGGAUGGCUGUGGGAAGCAGUGGGCGUCCUGGGCUCAGCCAGGGGGCUGGCAGACGGCUGCUCACGCCAGAGCUGCUCAGGCCGGUGGUGACCUUGGGCUGAGGUCGGCAACCCGUGGGGCCGGAUGGGUCUGUGCUGUACAGAAGGCGGAGAACGGGCUCAGGUCCAGACCACGGCCGUGAAGACCUGGGCUAAUGCCAGCCCUGACACAGGCGGUCAAGGUGGCCUCCCUGGUAAGGUGGACAGCAGCUGGGUCUGGUGGGUAGCCAGGUGGGUGGAGCGCAGGGGAGGGCCCUACAGGCACGGGGACAGCAGGGCAAAGGUCCCCGGGGGCAGGCACGGUCAGGAAGGCCCUUGGGCUGCAGGUGUGCGGUCAGGCCGAGUGGGGACUGUGGCCCGGGGUGGGCAGGACAGUGCCUCACCCCAGGCGGGGGUUUCGAGUCCGGGGGCGCUGCCUGCCCAGGGGGCACGAGCACAGCCCGGGGUACCGGAAGCUGAC
ensembl:lncRNA